rnacentral:rRNA from 1 species
GGGGGUGCUAUACAUGCAGUCGAACGCACAGCGAAAGGUGCUUGCACCUUUCAAGUGAGUGGCGAACGGGUGAGUAACACGUGGACAACCUGCCUCAAGGCUGGGGAUAACAUUUGGAAACAGAUGCUAAUACCGAAUAAAACUUAGUGUCGCAUGACACAAAGUUAAAAGGCGCUUCGGCGUCACCUAGAGAUGGAUCCGCGGUGCAUUAGUUAGUUGGUGGGGUAAAGGCCUACCAAGACAAUGAUGCAUAGCCGAGUUGAGAGACUGAUCGGCCACAUUGGGACUGAGACACGGCCCAAACUCCUACGGGAGGCUGCAGUAGGGAAUCUUCCACAAUGGGCGAAAGCCUGAUGGAGCAACGCCGCGUGUGUGAUGAAGGCUUUCGGGUCGUAAAGCACUGUUGUAUGGGAAGAACAGCUAGAAUAGGAAAUGAUUUUAGUUUGACGGUACCAUACCAGAAAGGGACGGCUAAAUACGUGCCAGCAGCCGCGGUAAUACGUAUGUCCCGAGCGUUAUCCGGAUUUAUUGGGCGUAAAGCGAGCGCAGACGGUUUAUUAAGUCUGAUGUGAAAGCCCGGAGCUCAACUCCGGAAUGGCAUUGGAAACUGGUUAACUUGAGUGCAGUAGAGGUAAGUGGAACUCCAUGUGUAGCGGUGGAAUGCGUAGAUAUAUGGAAGAACACCAGUGGCGAAGGCGGCUUACUGGACUGCAACUGACGUUGAGGCUCGAAAGUGUGGGGUAGCAAACAGGAUUAGAUACCCUGGUAGUCCACACCGUAAACGAUGAACACUAGUGUUAGGAGGUUUCCGCCUCUUAGUGCCGAAGCUAACGCAUUAAGUGUUCCGCCUGGGGAGUACGACCGCAAGGUUGAAACUCAAAGGAAUUGACGGGGACCCGCACAAGCGGUGGAG